AACGAACGCUGGCGGCAUGCCUAAUACAUGCAAGUCGAACGAUCACUUCGGUGAUAGUGGCGCACGGGUGCGUAACGCGUGGGAAUCUGCCCUUGGGUUCGGAAUAACUUCUGGAAACGGAAGCUAAUACCGGAUGAUGACGUAAGUCCAAAGAUUUAUCGCCCAAGGAUGAGCCCGCGUAGGAUUAGCUAGUUGGUGGGGUAAAGGCCCACCAAGGCGACGAUCCUUAGCUGGUCUGAGAGGAUGAUCAGCCACACUGGGACUGAGACACGGCCCAGAAUCCUACGGGAGGCAGCAGUAGGGAAUAUUGGACAAUGGGCGAAAGCCUGAUCCAGCAAUGCCGCGGGAGUGAUGAAGGCCUUAGGGUUGUAAAGCUCUUUUACCCGGGAUGAUAAUGACAGUACCGGGAGAAUAAGCUCCGGCUAACUCCGUGCCAGCAGCCGCCGCUGUAA
rnacentral:rRNA from 1 species